rnacentral:rRNA from 1 species
UGGCGGACGGGUGAGUAACGCGCGGAAAACCUGCCGUAUACUGGGGGAUAACACUUAGAAAUAGGUGCUAAUACCGCAUAAGCGCACAGCUUCGCAUGAAGCGGUGUGAAAAACUCUGGUGGUAUACGAUGGUUCCGCGUCUGAUUAGCUAGUUGGUGGGGUAAUGGCCUACCAAGGCAACGAUCAGUAGCCGGCCUGAGAGGGUGAACGGCCACAUUGGGACUGAGACACGGCCCAAACUCCUACGGAAGGCAGCAG